GUGCUCCGCCUGUCAUGGCGACAUGGCGACAGACAUUGAUUUGCGCGUUUACUACUGGGGUCUCAACUCGACCUUUUGGGCCCACAGAAAGCUUUUCGUCAAGGAACUAUAUGAAUUAAAGGAAAGCAAGGAGUACAAAGAUUAUCACAGAUGAUCAUCACUUGAAGCCUGCCAUUAUAAAAGCUAUCAAGGACAUUAGUAAAGGGUCGCUACAUCAAGGUGCUCACAUUGCAAGGAUUACAGAUGCUCUACACUCUACACAAAGUCUUUGUCAUGUUGGUUCUGCCAGAAUUCUAGAUUCUUUGAAGAAACUUAUCUGUGAGAGUGAGAUUUAUCAACAAAGUAAUCAGGUGUACUGCAUUGUAUGAUUAUGGUGCACAAUUACAGGGAUGGGGGAGGAAUGAUUUGAGGGGGUUUAUGGCAAUUACUCCCCCCACCCCACAAUGGAAAAUCCUGUAUACACACCCUGCAUCAUGUAGACAGCACAUCCAUUUAGUCAUGUAAGAGCAAAACAAUGAGAAAAAUGGUGAGAUAAGAAUGUCAGUUUUAUUAAUAUAAUAUGUAAUUAACUGAUCAGAUAUCUGUAACAGUUAGAAAUGCUUCUUUGUUGUGUUUCUUAUUACUACUGUGAUCAUUUAUGGCAGUCCAAAAUAAAUUUAGAAAAAUGUC